AACUUUCGGCAAUGGAUCUCUAGGCUCUCCCAUCGAUGAAGAACGCAGCGAACUGCGAUACGUAAUGUGAAUUGCAGAAUUCAGUGAAUCAUCGAAUCUUUGAACGCACCUUGCGCCGCUCGGUUUUCCGAGGGGCACGUCUGUUUGAGUGUCACGUCAAUCUAUCACUCACCUUCAUUGGUGUAUGUGGACUUGGACUGUGCUGUCGCUUGUUCGACGGCUCGUCUCGAAAUGCAUUGCUGCCUGCAGAGUCUUGCGUGGAGCAAGGCUGACGAAACGGUGUGAUAUUUAUAUCUGCGCUGAAGUAGUUGGCUUUGAGCCGCAGCACAAGGAGUGCUCUGGGCUUAUAAUGACGAGGGUGAAUUUCUUUUGCCCCCAUUAACUUUGUGUUUGACCUCAAAUCAGACGGGAUUACCCGCUGAACUUAAGCAUAUCAAUAAGCGGAGGCU
rnacentral:misc_RNA from 1 species